rnacentral:rRNA from 1 species
GCCUCGGCGGCCUAAGGUGGGGGAGAUGAUUGGGGUUAAGUCGUAACAAGGCAUCCGUACGAGAACGUGUGGAUGGAUUACCUCCUUU